UACCCACCAUUUGCUUCAACGUGGAUGGAACUGGAGGGUAUUAUGCUGAGUGAAAAAGGAAUUGCAGAAGAUGCUUUGAGAAGAGAGUUACAAUUGACCAGAGGCUAGGUAAACCAAGAUAACAUUGUACUGUUGUUUAAAGGUAAAAGAGAAGAUUCUUUUGCAUCUUUUUCCUCAGAAAACUAUAAAGUGUGACUGAAUAUUAUAUGAAAGUGAUUUCAUCAUUUGUUUUCAUCUUGGUGAAGAUCAAAACCUUCAUGCAUAUUUCAAGCCAAAAUGAAAAUUAUAUUUGUGUACCCACUUCUUAAGUUAUGACAUUUCCAAUUUGAUUUGUGUGGAUCUUCUUCAAUUAUGUUAUUUGCAUGUUGCUCUAAAAAUAGUAUUCAAAGAAAUUCUUAAAGGACAAGUAUGCUUUUUUUUUUAACCUUUUAGUUUUUCAUACUUCAGCACUACACUUUAUUCCUGUUCUCUCCCUUAUCUGCUGUCAGCAGUGGGCCUACUUACAUAGACAGAUUAAAAACUUUUUUCCCAUUUGCCAUGACAACACCCAGCUAAUGUUUGCUGAUAAACUAGUAGCAGGUCAGAGCAUUUACAAAAUGCAGGAGAAAUUCAUACUCCUGAGUAACAACUUUAAUUCAGGAGUAAAGGAGAUUGUAUGCUAAAGUAAAUUCAUAUGGUAUUAACAUUUUAUCAAAUUUCUUGUAAUUUUUAUGCAAAUAAAAUACCCUCUGUUGAGUCCUCA